CCGCAAUUUUUCAGUUUGAGAAUCAUUCGAUCACACUCGUCUUCACACUCACCCAUUUACCUCUCUUUCUUAUCUCUGAGAUCCACCAUUUUUCUUCACCCACCUUCUUCCCUUUCUAACCACCAUCCAAUCACCAAAAUUCUGAGAACAAUCUUCAUCUCUUUCUCUCUUCAACCUAUUCACUGCAACUUCUCAAAAGUUUUCCCCUAA